rnacentral:rRNA from 1 species
AUGCAUUUAGAUGUUAUGUCGAACAAGGAGACAAGAACGCACUACCGUACAGAUGAUAAGCGACACAUAUAUUCUGAGAUCCUUGCCCGUAAUGGUGGGGGUAAUAGGUUGAAGCAUGGAGUUUCUAAAGCUGUUGCACUAGCUUGUGAAUGUCCAAGGAGAAUAGUGCAAAGGGUAUGGCAGCAGGCUAAAAAUGGUGGAGGCAUUACAGGGGUAAAAAACAAUCGAAAGCUCAAAUCAGGAAGGAAAAAGAUAAAUUUAAACAUAGAUGCAUUGGAGGCCAUCCCACCUGGAGAGAGAACAACAUUAGAACAAGUUGCUGGACAUCUAAACUUGUCAACUACCACUGUUUGGAGGAGGUGA